GACGAACGCUGGCGGCGUGCUUAACACAUGCAAGUCGAACGGAAAGGCCCUGCUUUUGUGGGGUGCUCGAGUGGCGAACGGGUGAGUAACACGUGAGUAACCUGCCCUUGACCUUGGGAUAACUUCAGGAAACUGGGGCUAAUACCGGAUAGGAGCUCCUGCUGCAUGGUGGGGGUUGGAAAGUUUCGGCGGUUGGGGAUGGACUCGCGGCUUAUCAGCUUGUUGGUGGGGUAGUGGCUUACCAAGGCUUUGACGGGUAGCCGGCCUGAGAGGGUGACCGGCCACAUUGGGACUGAGAUACGGCCCAGACUCCUACGGGAGGCAGCAGUGGGGAAUAUUGCACAAUGGGCGGAAGCCUGAUGCAGCAACGCCGCGUGCGGGAUGACGGCCUUCGGGUUGUAAACCGCUUUCGCCUGUGACGAAGCGUGAGCGACGGUAAUGGGUAAAGAAGCACCGGCUAACUACGUG
rnacentral:rRNA from 1 species